rnacentral:lncRNA from 1 species
AAUGAAGAGACAAGGUCUUGCUAUGUUGCUCAGGUUGGUCUUGAAUUCCUGGCCUCAAGGGAUCCUCCUCCAUUGGCCUCCCAAAGUGCUGGGAUUUGCCCAGCCCCUAACUGUUGUUUUGUUAAGUUGCAUUUCUCAAGAUUGGGCAGAGUAGCUUCCUAGACUUGGUGAUUUAAUUUUACUUUUCUUGUCUUGUUAUUUCUCUGCAUUCAAUGUUACCUUAAUUGUAAAAUAAAAAUUACCAAGACAUUGCUGAAUAUAGUUGUUGAUUAGUGUUCCCUUGAUAGUAGUCCUGCAUUUUUACUUUCAGCUACUGCUUAAUCACAUUCAUUUGCAAAAUUGGAAAAUUUUUACUUUGGCUAAUUACCAUAGGUUUAGAACUUUCUGGUCUUCAGCUCCAGAAAUGUAUCGCUGUGUUGAGAUCAUGUUUUAUUUCAUCCAUGUUUAUUUGAAUACUGCCCCUCUGAAAAGCUGACUGUUUUUGGAGCUUUUAUACACAAGUAUGAGUGAGGAAAUUACUUUAGGUGUAGAAUAAAAUUGUGUAGAAAUAAUUAUCUUUGAAAAAAUUUGGUAUUCAGGAUAUUGAAUUGGAAGUGUUGAAGAAGCAGCUGUUUUGUGUGUAAUACGUUUCUCUUGUUUGAGAAUUUACCAGUUUUUUGCAGUUGUAGCUUUGAACUAUCCAUUCCCCCCUUAAAUUUAGAUACCCUGACAACCAAAAAUCUCUUGAAUUGUCAUGAAGUACUUUAGUAGAAGUUUUAUGGAAAAACACAACAUAGCUAUGAUCUUUGCUGGAAGCUUCAAAAAGGCAUCAUCGUGUGAUGCUUUUUAGGUAGAAAAACUCCCAGAAAUAAGAUAAGGUACCUACACUGGGCAAAGCCCAAGCCUCUUACUCAUGUUUCCUGGUAAUCCACAGCAGUGGUUUUGCUCCUUUCAUGACAUUGUUUUUGUUGUAGUGUUUGUCUUUCAUAAAAAUUCUCCAUAAAAAUAUAUAAAAAUUACCUGUCUUCCAAAUCAAACUUUUAUCAAACCUUCCAAGCUGAAAGCUGGUACAAUUUAAGAUCAUUUUACCCAGGAACAGAGUAAUAAUUUAUUUUGUGUUUACUGUUUCAUUGGACUUACUGAUUUAUUGGUGGUGACUUGAUCUUAUGUGUACUUGGUGACCUUAAAGUAAAUUACCUGGGUAGUUGUGGUCAUUUGACAAGUUUUUAUUGAGCACACAGCCAUUUGCGCUCUUGGUGUACAGUGGUAUAAAGACAGACCAGGUCCCUGUUCUUACGGAGCUUAAAAUACUAUGGAAAGGAAGAGAAAAUAAACUAACAGAAAAAUAACAAUUUCAGCUGGCGACAAGUGCUACGAAGAAUUUAGAGAAGGGUAAGGAACUACAGAGUGAUGAGAACUGGGUGGAGUGACUGCUUUAUAGACAAUGUUGAGAUAAUGCAUUUAAUUUUUUAGGAAAAAGUAAUGCUACUUCCUUUUGGAGCCGGGGAUAAUUCUUAUGUAGGUUUACCUGUGCCAUUUAGCUCAUUUGGUUGGGGGACAGACAGCUUUUAGAUUUGGAGCCCUUGUGCAUAGGCUGCUAAACUUAUAAACUUAGUUCCAUGUUGUAGACUAAACCUAGGCCAGCUAAUUUACUAGUAUUGUUAGUCAUUAGGGUGGGAGAUUAUGAAUGGAUUCACUUACAUAUUAUUUAUUCAUGUGGCAUAUAUUUGUUGUGUAUUUCAGUAGGUGCUGAAGAAAAUUCCAGGAUUAAGAAAAACUUUCUCAAGUAGCUGUAGUUUACCAAAAUAGUUAUCAGAACUAAUUUGGUUCAUUAGGACUUUGAGUAAAUAGUAGGUCUCUCGUGUCCUAAAUGACUUGAGCUAACACAUUCUGCAGUCUUUCUGGCACUUCUUUUCUCUUUUGCCUCAUCACCCAUGCUUUUUCUCUUUGUGGCAUCUUCUGUGUUACUUUUCAUAACUAGUACUCCCACUUCCCUUUUUACCUAUAGAUACAAACUUUUUCAACGGUCGCAUACAUAGAAGUGCACAAAUCGUAAGUAUAAGGAUUUGAUAAAGUUUUGCAGAAUGAGCAUAUCUUUGCCACUAGCACCCAGAUUGAUUUUUUUUUUUUUUUUGAGACAGGUAUCUGGCUCUGUUGCCCAGGCUAGAGUGUGGUGGUGUAAUCACAGCUCACUGUAGCCCCUACUUUGAGGCCCAGGUGAUACUCUCACCUCAGCCUCCUGAGUAGUUGGGACCAUAGACAUGUGCCAUCAUGCCUGGCACAUUUUUAAGGGCUUUUUUUUUUUCUUUUUGUGAGACACGGUCUCCCUAUGUUGCCUAGGCUAGUGUCUUAUUUCUGGGCUCAAGCGAUCCUCCCGCCUCAGCCUCCCAGAGAGUUGGUAUUAUAGGCAUGAGCCACUGUGCUGGCUUGCACCUAGAUUCUUAAAGAGAACAUUACUAGAACAUUACCGGAAGCCCCUUGUGCACUGUCCCCUGUGGGCCACUUCUCCCACCCCAUUCCUGUCUUUUAAUACUAGAGAUCAGUUGUGCUUGUUUUUGAAAUUUAUGUGAGUGGAGUAUACUAUGUAUACAGUACACAGUAAAUACUGUAUGUACCACUGCCUAUAUACAGUAUACUCCACAGUGAGUGAAACAAGCCAGACUCAGAAGCAUACAUACUGUAUGUACCACUUUGCUUAGUAGCCACAGUGUAUGCACCAUGGUACAUGCAUAUACUUCUGAAUCUGGCUUGUUUCACUCAUGGUUAGGUGUGCAGGAUUCAUCCAUGUUGUUGUGUGCAGUUCUUGCUUAUUUUACCAGUCUGUCUUAUCCUGAGAAUAUCUUUGACAUUCAACUCUGCAUGCAGACCCUUCCUUACACGUUCUAGAGAGAGGACCUGUCUUCACCCUGUGUUUAUUACCCACAUACUUGAACAGCUGUUUCCUCCAGGCAUCAUUAUGCAAAAGGAAUGAAACCCGGUGUGUGCAGCUUUUUUAGAGGACGUAAAAGGAGUCAGCUCUUGCCUCUCAUCAAUAGUAUUGUUUAUCAGUCAUUUCUCUUUUGAGGCAUUGGUUGAAUAAAUGGGAAAAUUCCUGCUUUCAAGGAACUUAGCAGACUUGUUGACAGAUAAGACCAUAAGAAGAAAGCCAGUGAAGUACCCAGUGAUGUGAACGCCAUGGUAUGAGCAAGUACAUAAUAGAGACCACAAGUGCUUUUUAGAAGUUAGAGAUAGUCAUUCUCUGGGGCUUCCUCAGGAAAAUCCUCGCUGAAUCUGGGAUCUAAACUGGGCCUUAUGAUUCUUGGAUAUAAGCUGUAUUUUCAGUUCCAUGCAAUGAGUGACACAGACUGUGCUGCCAAAAAGGAAUUCUCAGUAAGGGCAAUGCACAUAAAUUACUGUGUUACUCAGAAAUCAUGAAUAGUUGAGAUCACAAGCAUGUUAUCAGAAUCACUUGGAAGAAGACUUCUUCAACACAUUGCUGAGUCCCAUUCCCAGAGGUUCAGAAAAUUAGAUGUUGACAUUUUCAAAGUGAACUUAAGAGAAUUAAUAGAAUAGAAGACAGAAAAUUACACAAUUCUUUUAAGGAACUGCGUGCCACCAUUAAAAUCACUAGUGAAAGGCAAACUGCUUGAAGACUUACCUCUUUGCUACCGUGGAGCCACCUCCUAGAUAAUCUUCCUCUUCAGCUGGUACUGUUUUAUAAAUGAAGCCUCUGAAUUGUUCAUUAGUAUUUUCAGACCUCUUUUAUCUAAUUUAAUCCUAAUAGUUAAAUCAACUGGUGAUCCACCUGCCUCAGUCUCCCAAAGAGCUGGGAUUGCAGGCAUGAGCUACCACGCCUGGCUGUAAAUUUCAUCUAUAAGAGAGUGAUACUUGUGGUGUUCUUGUGUUUAUAUAUUUUUUCCUCUAAGAAAGUGGGCUUUUUGACUGAUGGCUUGUUCUUUAGAGUCAUAAUAUCUUUAGUGUAUAGAUAAACCAAAAUUCUUCUAUAUUUCUGUGAUGGAGGACAUAAUUUGACCUUCAGCCUUGAUAUGAAAUUUUAUGUCAGUGGAAUUAUACAAUAUGUAGUCUUUUGUUUAUGUCUGGCUUCUUUCACUUAAUAUAAUGAGUUAGGAUUUGUCUACCUUGUUUGUUGCA